ACGGGAGGCAGCAGCUAAGAAUAUUCCGCAAUGGGCGAAAGCCUGACGGAGCGACACCGCGUGGAUGAUGAAGGCCUAACGGUUGUAAAAUCCUUUUGUGCAUGAGGAAUAAGCAGUGUAGGGAAUGACACUGUGGUGACUGUAGUGUAUGAAUAAGCAACGGCUAAUUACGUGCCAGCAGCCGCGGUAACACGUAAGUUGCAAGCAUUGUUCGGAAUUAUUGGGCGUAAAGGGCAUGUAGGCGGUGUGCCAAGUCUGGUGUGAAAUCCCGGGGCUUAACUCCGGAACUGCAUCGGAAACUGGUAUACUUGAAUCGCUGAGGGGAAGCCGGAAUUCCACGUGUAGGGGUGAAAUCUGUAGAUAUGUGGAAGAACACCAAUGGCGAAGGCAGGCUUCUAGCAGAUGAUUGACGCUGAGGUGCGAAGGUGCGGGGAGCAAACAGGAUUAGAUACCCUGGUA
rnacentral:rRNA from 1 species